UCCCUGGUGGUCCAGUGUGGUUAAGACUCUGCACUUCCACUGCAGGAGGCACGGAUUCAACCCCUGGUCAGGGAA
rnacentral:tRNA from 1 species